rnacentral:rRNA from 1 species
UGGGUAACCUGCCUCAAAGAGGGGAAUAGCCUCCCGAAAGGGAGAUUAAUACCGCAUAAUAUGUUUAGGUCGCAUGACUUUAACAUCAAAGGAUUUUUCUUUUAGAACUUCCACUUUGAGAUGGACCCGCGGCGCAUUAGCUAGUUGGUGAGGUAACGGCUCACCAAGGCAACGAUGCGUAGCCGACCUGAGAGGGUGAUCGGGCCACAUUGGAACUGAGACACGGCCCAGACCUCCGUAGGAGG